rnacentral:rRNA from 1 species
AUUGAACGCUGGCGGCAGGCCUAACACAUGCAAGUCGAGCGGAUGAAGGUAGCUUGCUCCUGGAUUCAGCGGCGGACGGGUGAGUAAUGCCUAUGAAUCUGCCUGGUAGUGGGUUAUAACGUCCGGAAACGGGCGCUAAUACCGCAUACGUCCUGAGGGUGAAAGUGGUGGUUCUUCGGACCUCACGCUCUCAUAUGAGCCUAGGUCGGAUUAGGUAGUUGGUGGGGUAAAGGCCUACCAAGGCUACGAUCCGUAACUGGUCUGAUAGGAUGAUUAAUCAAAAGGGAAAAGAAAAAAGGGACAAAAAUCGAAGGGAAGGAAGAGGGGGGAAUAUUGGACAAUGGGCGAAAGCCUGAUCCAGCCAUGCCGCGUGUGUGAAGAAGGUCUUCGGAUUGUAAAGCACUUUAAGUUGGGAGGAAGGGCAGUAAGUUAAUACCUUGCUGUUUUGACGUUACCAACAGAAUAAGCACCGGCUAACUUCGUG